UGUAAGGGAAUAGGAGUCUUGAGUAGGAGUCCUAUUAGGAGUUGGUUAGAAGUAAGAGUCUUAAGUAGGAGUCAUAUUAGGAGUUAGGGUUUAGAAGCCCUAUAAAUAGCCAUGUAUUCCUUCUCUUUUCUUAAGCAAUAGAUGAAUCUUUUCUGCAGCCUUUGAGCAGCAACUUGAAGGGAGGAACCCCUAUAGAGUUCCAAGGAGGUCGAUCCCCUAAAGAGAUCAACCCCAAGUUUAGAAUCUACAAGGGUUCUAACACCUGGUAUCAGAGCAGCGUUCUUGGCGUCUCGCUGCCCUUCCACAGCCAUCCAUCAACCCUCUACAACCAUCCAAAGCAAUUCCCACAAUUGCUUAAAAGAUCGUCACCGAAUUCCGCCAUCAUCUCCACCACCGUGGAUCAUCCUUCGAUCUCCCCGUGAAUUACAACAGGUUCUGGUUUCCUACCUUACUGCUGCUGCAAUUUAGUUAUCCUUAUUCGAAAAUUAAAAAAAAAAAAUCGUUCUUAUAUUGCAGAAUUCCAACCGCAUAGCACCAUCUGUUUGAUCUUGCUACUGUGCUUUUUCUAUCCAAAUUUCUACGAAAUUUUUAUGACAUCUUUGACACUUCCUAAUAGUGGAUUUCCCUUUGGUUUCAUCAAAAAAUUCUCAAUAUAAACUACUGAUCUUUUAUGUCCAAUCUGCUGCACUUGAAUUGCAGAAUUCAAGCCGCAUAGCACCAUCUGUUUGAUCUUCCUACUGUGCUUUUUCUAUCCAAAUUUCUACGAAAUUUUUAUGACAUCUUUGACACUUCAUAAUAGUAGAUUUCCCUGUGGUUUCAUCGAAAAAUUCUCAAUAUAAACUACUGAUCUUUUAUGUCCAAUCUGCUGCACUUGAAAAUCUAUGUUGCAGAAAAUUUCAGCUGCAUAUCGUUGCCUUAACCCAUCUAUUUGCAAUCUUUUUUGAAUGAAAUUUCUUAUAGACUUCAUAUAUCAUCUUGGCUUCCAUCUAAGAUUGAUCUAUUAAGAAAUUCAUCUCUAAAAACGAUUUUAUGUUGCUGCAAAUUUUCAUCGUAACCCGCUGAAAUUUUUUGACAAUAAUUCUGCAAUUGCAACUUGCACCAAUUUCUUUGCUGUUAUACUGCCGAAAUUUUCUUGAUUAAAUUAGAUAUCCUUGCUGUUAUAUAAACUGUGAUUUUGCUAUCA
rnacentral:lncRNA from 1 species